rnacentral:rRNA from 1 species
AACGAACGCUGGCGGCAUGCCUAACACAUGCAAGUCGAACGUGAUCCGGAGCUUGCUCCGGUGAAAGUGGCGCACGGGUGAGUAAUACAUCGGAACGUGCCCGAGAGUGGGGGAUAACGAAGCGAAAGCUUUGCUAAUACCGCAUACGAUCUCAGGAUGAAAGCAGGGGACCGCAAGGCCUUGUGCUCACGGAGCGGCCGAUGGCAGAUUAGGUAGUUGGUGGGAUAAACGCUUACCAAGCCGACGAUCUGUAGCUGGUCUGAGAGGACGACCAGCCACACUGGGACUGAGACACGGCCCAGACUCCUACGGGAGGCAGCAGUGGGGAAUUUUGGACAAUGGGCGCAAGCCUGAUCCAGCCAUGCCGCGUGCAGGAUGAAGGCCUUCGGGUUGUAAACUGCUUUUGUACGGAACGAAAAGACUCCUUCUAAUAAAGGGGGUCCAUGACGGUACCGUAAGAAUAAGCACCGGCUAACUACGUGCCAGCCGCCGCCGUAACAC